rnacentral:rRNA from 1 species
UACAGAGACUGCAAGCGUUGUUCGGAUUCAUUGGGCGUAAAGGGUGCGUAGGCGGUGAGGUAAGUUGGAUGUGAAAUCCCAAGGCUUAACCUUGGAAGUGCAUCCAAAACUCCCUCGCUCGAGGACUGGAAGGGAGACUGGAAUUCUCGGUGUAGCGGUGAAAUGCGUAGAUAUCGAGAGGAACACCGGUGGCGAAGGCGGGUCUCUGGACAGUUCCUGACGCUGAGGCACGAAAGCCAGGGUAGCAAACGGG